UACGGGGGGGGCAAGCGUUGUUCGGAAUUACUGGGCGUAAAGGGCUCGUAGGUGGCCAACUAAGUCGGACGUGAAAUCCCUCGGCUUAACCGGGGAACUGCGUCCGAUACUGGAUGGCUUGAGUUUGGGAGAGGGAUGCGGAAUUCCAGGUGUAGCGGUGAAAUGCGUAGAUAUUGGGAGGAACACCAGUGGCGAAGGCGGCUCACUGGACCGGUACUGACGCUGAUGCGCGAAAGCGUGGGGAGCAAACGGG
rnacentral:rRNA from 1 species